GACGAACGCUGCGGCGUGCUUAACCCCUGCAAGUCGAACGGAAAGGCCCUGCUUUUGUGGGGUGCUCGAGUGGCGAACGGGUGAGUAACACGUGAGUAACCUGCCCUUGACUUUGGGAUAACUUCAGGAAACUGGGGCUAAUACCGGAUAGGAGCUCCUGCUGCAUGGUGGGGGUGGGAAAAUUUCGGCGGUUGGGGAUGGACUCGCGGUUUAUCAGCUUGUUGGUGGGGUAGUGGCUUACCAGGGCUUUGACGGGAAGCCGGCCUGAGAGGGUGACCGGCCACAUUGGGACUGAGAUACGGCCCAGACUCCUACGGGAGGCAGCAGUGGGGAAUAUUGCACAAUGGGCGGAAGCCUGAUGCAGCAACGCCGCGUGCGGGAUGACGGCCUUCGGGUUGUAAACCGCUUUCGCCUGUGACGAAGCGUGAGUGACGGUAAUGGGUAAAGAAGCACCGGCUAACUACGUG
rnacentral:rRNA from 1 species